rfam:Schistosoma mattheei strain Denwood, Zambia genome assembly, scaffold: SMTD_scaffold0011256
AUCCAACUGACGAGUCCUAAAUAAGGCGAAAUGCACUUCCUAGAU